ACGCUUGUUUCAUCAUCUGCUUCAGUGGGUGAACAGGGUGUAAACACAAAGUCACAAGAAGGGGAUCUAGAUACGAGACGUCUCUGUCACCGAACAUGUCGCGGCUGGCUCUUUUCUUACAGGUUCAGUCGGUGUUUACCCAAAGUGCUACAGGAGGAGGAGAGGAUGUGGAGGACAACAUGAAGCCAAAUCGCACCCUGCAUGUUGUACAGAGGGAGGGAGAUGAACCACUCACAGCUCCAGGAUGAGGAUGACCUCCGCCUUGUUUUCGAAGACGUCGUGCAGCGUGAUGAUGUUCGGGUGCUGGAUCUCCUUCAGGAUGUCCACCUCGCGCUCGAUGUCCUCCCUCGUCACGCCGCGGCGGCUCGACUUGCUGCGCCGCUUCUUGAUGAACUUGCCGGCGUACUCCACGCCCGUGCCCCUGUGCCGACAUCUUCUGACCACAGCAAACUGACCACUGGUGAGGGGAGGAGAAGAAGAAGAAAAGACAAGUUCAAGUUGCAUCAGGAACUAGGAACUACUGGUUUACACUUGAAAUGAUCAAGCCGGCAACUAUUUGAUCAUUUGUUGGUUCUAAUUUUUCAGAUUUCAUGGUGUUUAUUAUCUUCUGUGAUAACAAACUUGAUAUUUUGGGGGUUUAGAUUCCACAUACAGUAAUAAUACAACAACAGGUUACCCUUUGACUUAUUAGUUCCUCGUCUCUCACCUGCCCAGGUCCUACUGUAUUUUACAGUUCAGUGGAAUAAGAAUAAAAUAAGAAAGAAUUUU